rnacentral:rRNA from 1 species
CCUACGGGAGGCUGCAGUAGGGAAUCUUCCACAAUGGGCGAAAGCCUGAUGGAGCAACGCCGCGUGGGUGAAGAAGGUCUUCGGAUCGUAAAACCCUGUUGUUAGAGAAGAAAGUGCGUGAGAGUAACUGUUCACGUUUCGACGGUAUCGAACCAGAAAGCCACGGCUAACUACGUGCCAGCAGCCGCGGUAAUACGUAGGUGGCAAGCGUUAUCCGGAUUUAUUGGGCGUAAAGGGAACGCAGGCGGUCUUUUAAGUCUGAUGUGAAAGCCCUCGGCUUAACCGGAGUAGUGCAUUGGAAACUGGGAGACUGGAGUGCAGAAGAGGAGAGUGGAACUCCAUGUGUAGCGGUGAAAUGCGUAGAUAUAUGGAAGAACACCAGUGGCGAAGGCGGCUCUCUGGUCUGUAACUGACGCUGAGGUUCGAAAGCGUGGGUAGCAAACAGGAUUAGAUACCCCUGUAGUC